GGCCUCCUUGAGCUGUGGUGGGCUCCACCCAGUUCGAGCUUCCCGGCUGGCUGCUUUGUUUACCUAAGCAAGCCUGGGCAAUGGCGGGCGCCCCUCCCCCAGCCUCGCUGCUGCCUUGCAGUUUGAUCUCAGACUGCUGUGCUAGCAAUCAGCAAGACUCCGUGGGCGUAGGACCCUCCGAGCCAGGUGCGGGAUAUAAUCUCGUGGUGCGCCGUUUUUUAAGCUGGUCCGAGAAGCGCAAUAUUCAGGUGGGAGUGACCCGAUUUUCCAGGUUGCAAGAAAGCUCAAGUAGCCUAUGGAGAGGAUGCAAGGCUUCCAGCUGAUGCCCUCAGCCAGGCUCAGUAGCAGCCAGAACUAGCCUACCAACGAACCUGCUGAUCAUGUGCAUAAGCCACCUUGAACGUCGAUCCUCCUGCCUGGUGGAGCCAUCCCAGCUGAUGCCACAUGAAGCAGACACAAGCUGUCCCUACUAAGCUCUGCUCAAGUUGGAUAUUCAUGAGUGAAAUAAAUGACUGUUACUAAGUAAUUAAUUUUUGGGUGGCUGUUAUGUAGCAGUAGAUAAUUGGAACAAAGCUUAUUGACAUAAUACAUCUAUAUCACAUCCUCCAAUCCAUUUUUUUAAGUAAUAAAGUUGAUGUUUGUUUUGAUUU
rnacentral:lncRNA from 1 species